rnacentral:snRNA from 1 species
AAUCUCUAUUAGAGAGAAUCUCU